AUUAUUUGUUAGUUAAUUAACUUAAUUUGUUUCUAAAAAGUGUAUUACUGAAGAAUUGUUCUAAUUUUAUAAAAAUAAUAUAUAUAUAUAUAUACAGAGUGGAACAGAUCUAACUGACAACUCAUAUAACUUAUGAUCUACAUAACAUUUUUUUAUUCAAAUUUGUUUUUUAAUUUGUAGAUAGCCAUUUUAUAGAUAAGUUUUAAAGAAAAAUUUUAAUACCAAAAACUCAUACUUUAAUCCAGUAGUUACGUUUAUACAGCAUUUUUAAUUUGUUAAAUUUUGAUUUUUUUUUACAAUUUUUCUAUAGUAUUAAAAAAGAGAUGGAGUGAUGCUAUUGAAUGUGAUAUGAGGACAGCUGAUGUGGGAGAUCGUGUCAAGUGGAAGUUUAGGAUAAAGGUGGGCGAUCCAAGUAGUUAGGAUUAAGGCGAGAUAGAAGAAGAAGAAUAAUUGCGAGUGUUCCGUGGUUAGCCAAGUUAAAAGUGAUAACAGUUAUUAAUUUGUGUGAUUCUUUCAUUGUAAUCAUAUUUUAUUAUAGGAUAUUCCUUGUUAGGAGAUUUGAUAAUAAAUGCACUUAUUCACUAUUAUUCACGUUUAAAUGUAUGAUAUAUGAACUUAUUUACUUAAAAACUCAACAUGUUUUAGACAAUGUUUCUAUAAUUUUUUUUUAAUAAUCUUAAUUAUACUGCUACUUGUGUUUUUAUGGAAAAUUAAUCGUGUACUGUUACUACUAAAUAACAUAAUAAGUGUUUACUUUAUAUAAUAUCGACUAACAUUUGAUACCAUAGGAAAAGGGUAAUAAAAAUAAAAAUUUAACAAACUUAAAAAUGCUGUAUUAACGUAACUACUAAUUAAAAUAAGAGUUUUUGAUAUCAACAUUUUUUUUUUAAAACUUAUCUAUAAAAUGACUAUCUUCAAACCUUAAAACAAAUUUAAUAAAAUCUAAAUUUUUAAAAUAUUUUUUGUAAUUGCAAAAAAUAACAUAGAGCGUAUAUUAAAUAUAGUUCUAUAUUGUAAAAAUUGAUUAAAAAAGAAAAAAUUAUAAAAUGUUAUGUAGAUCAUAAGUUAUAUGAGUUUUCAGUUAGAUCUAUUCCACUCUGUAUACAUUCUAUAUCGAUUAUUUAAAAAUAGUGGACUCCAUGAAUGUAAAUACUGGGACCCGCACAUCAGGUUUUUGCAGCAUUGCAGACACUAUUCAGUUUUAUUGGAUGCCUUUAAUAAAAUGAUAUUCAAUGAUGAAACUUCAUAAAAUAUUUAUAUUAUAUAAAUAAUGUUGAAUUAAAUAAUAUUCUUAAAUAAUUUAUACUGUGAGCAGGCCCGCAUUUAGGGGGGGGCAUUGGGGUCAUUUACCCCGGGCGGCAAAUUUUGAAGGGCGGCAAAAAUCUUAAUAGGUAUACAAUUUUUAAAAAUUAAUUAUUUUUAUUUAAUUUUAAAUUUUUUCAAACAGAACAAUUUAUUUUUAUGAAACAAAAAUAUCUAUUUCUAAAAAAAAAUAUUACUUUAUUAUUUUCUAAUUUAAAACGUGUACAAAGAUAUAAAUGUAAAAGAAAAUAUAUCAAAGCUGUAUAACAACAUAGACUACAGUUAGUAGUUAGAUAAUAGUAUUGAUUAUACAUAGUAAUUUUUAUAAUCAACAGCACUAUAAAUAAAGUAGGCGGCAAUUUAUUUGAUUCAUGUUUUUAUCUAAUUUUAACAAAGUAUUGAUAUUUUCUCCCUUAAACUGGUUUUAUGGAUGUCGUCGGCCGUUGAUAGUCGAUUAUUAUUGGAAUACUAAGAAAGUUAAAACACAAUAAUUUGUCUCAUUUUUCACAAAAUUACUAUCUAAUAAUGUCACACUAAUAAUGUGUUAUGUACAGACAGCUCAUUGUGUUUAGUACUCGACUACAAGUGACCGAGUUAAUAUGUUGAGGUGUUUUUUUAGCUUCGAUGCGAAGCUGAGAAGGUAUUUUAUUUGUAUAUUUUAUUAUUUAAUAACGUAUUAAAAUGAGUGAUGGCAGAAAACGUUUAAGUGGAAGUGCUUAUAAAAAAGUUGCUAAAUUAAAAUUAGAAAAAGAACAAAAAGUCAUUUCUCAAACCGCAAAAUUAACUUCAUUUUUUGGCAAUCAAUCUCCAAUUCGCCAAGUGAAAUAGAGACUACAGCUGAACAGAUUUUAAAUGAGUCUAGUGAUAAAAAUGAACAUCCUCUACAUAGUAUUUUUGAAACCAUGGCAAAUGAAAAUCAAUUAAUUGAAUAUUCGGAAUUAUUAAAUACGCCAACUAAAAAACCCAAUCCAACACUUUUGGGGGGCGGCAAAAUUAAGUACACCGGGCGGCAAAAUUCCUAAUUGCGACCCUGACUGACAAGCUUUUAAAGCUGUCAUUGAAUAUCCAUUUGAAUAACCAAAUCCAACAAUAUAGUGUAUAUUAUGGGCGUAUUUAAAAAUUCAUAAUGAAGGAGGCACGAACACAAAAUUUGAAUGGAUAAGUUAUCAUAAGAACUCAUUAUGACCAUUAUUUUCUGUUGUUAUAAUCAAAGGAAAAGAAAAAACAAUCAACAUGAAAAUUUGUAUCAGUACAUCAUUGCUAAUGGGUGGCAGGAAAAUAUCUCCCGUGAACCAGUAGAAUAUCGCAAUACGCUAUUGAUGUUUAUUAAAACAAAAAUCUUCCAUUGCAUAUUGAAAAAUUUUUUUUAUUGUUUUUAUAAAAUUAUUUUCCACUAGAAUUAAUAGAAAUUAUACCUAAGAUUUGUAAACAUAUUAGUAACAUAUUCAACACAAA